rnacentral:rRNA from 1 species
UGCCAGCAGCCGCGGUAAUAUGGACGGUGCAUGCGUUAUCCGGAUUUACUGGGUUUAAAGGGUACGCAGGCGGUGUAAUAAGUCAGUGGUGAAAGCUUCCAGCUCAACUGGAAAACUGCCAUUGAUACUGUUACACUUGAAUUUGGGAGAGGUAGGCGGAAUACAUCAUGUAGCGGUGAAAUGCUUAGAUAUGAUGUAGAACACCGAUUGCGAAGGCAGCUUACUAGACCAAUAUUGACGCUCAUGUACGAAAGCGUGGGGAGCAAACAGGGUUAGAUA